UAGAGGAGCUUUUGCCCUUUAGGUUUCUGAUUUAGCUGAUAUGUAAAAUCCCUUGCAGCCAGUUACCUUCCUAUUGAUUACACAUCGGUGGUGCUCAGCAGCUCGUGUUUAUCUUACCAAGUGAAUCAACAAGUGGAGAAAUGAAAGAAAAUCUAGAACUCUGUGAUAUAGAAGAACCUGUGAAUGAAGGGGAAGACAAGGCA